rnacentral:misc_RNA from 1 species
UACGUAGGUGGCAAGCGUUGUCCGGAAUUAUUGGGCGUAAAGAGCUCGUAGGCGGUUCGAUAAGUCGGGUGUGAAACCUCCAGGCUCAACCUGGAGACGCCACCCGAUACUGUCGUGACUAGAGUCCAGUAGGGGAGCGUGGAAUUCCUAGUGUAGCGGUGAAAUGCGCAGAUAUCAGGAGGAACACCAGCGGCGAAGGCGGCGCUCUGGGCUGGCACUGACGCUGAGGCUCGAAAGCGUGGGGGGCAAACAGG